rnacentral:rRNA from 1 species
GACGAACGCUGGCGGCGCGCUUAACACAUGCAAGUCGAGCGAGAACCCAGGCUUCGGCCUGGGGGAAAGCGGCGAACGGGUGAGUAUCACGUGGGUAAUCUGCCCUCGGCAUCGGGAUAGCCCGGGGAAACCCGGAUUAAUACCGAAUGGCCCAUCCGCUCUUCGGAGUGGCUGGAAAAGGUAGCUUCGGCCUCCGGCCGAGGAGGAGCCCGCGGCGGAUUAGCUUGUUGGUGGGGUAACGGCUCACCAAGGCGACGAUCCGUAGCUGGUCUGAGAGGACGAUCAGCCACACUGGGACUGAGACACGGCCCAGACUCCUACGGGAGGCAGCAGUGGGGAAUCUUGCGCAAUGGGCGAAAGCCUGACGCAGCGACGCCGCGUGCGGGAAGAAGGCCUUCGGGUUGUAAACCGCUUUCAGAAGGGACGAAGCCACUCAGGUUAAUAGCCGAGAGGGUGACGGUACCUUCAGAAGAAGCCCCGGCUAACUACGUGCCAGCCGCCGCCGUAAUAC